UACAGAGGUCUCAAGCGUUGUUCGGAUUCAUUGGGCGUAAAGAGCGUGUAGGCGGCUAGACAGGUCUGCUGUGAAAACUCGAGGCUCAACCUCGAGAUGUCGGCGGAAACCGUCUGGCUAGAGUCCGGAAGAGGAGAGUGGAAUUCCGGGUGUAGUGGUGAAAUGCGUAGAUAUCCGGAGGAACACCAGUGGCGAAAGCGGCCACCUGGACUGCACCUGACGCUGACACGCGAAAGCUAGGGGAGCGAACGGG
rnacentral:rRNA from 1 species